CUGACAGCCCUGGAGAUGUGAGUCUGUUAUUCAUUGUUAGAACAGGUACAGUAUGGGCAGCAGCACCGCAAGCUUCCCACCAUCUGUCUCACUUCUCGAGCUCUUCAAAACUGGGACCAUCCUGUAAAAUUUGGUAGAGGUGGCAGCUCAAUGGCCAGGUGGAUUACAGUGCUGCU
rnacentral:sRNA from 1 species